UACGAGAGGCCCAAACGUUAUUCGGAAUUACUGGGCUUAAAGAGUUCGUAGGCGGCGCAGAAAGUAGGGUGUGAAAGCCCUCGGCUUAACCGAGGAAUUGCGCUCUAAACUACUGUGCUUGAGGAACCUAGAGGUGAGCAGAACUGAUGGUGGAGCGGUGAAAUGCGUUGAUAUCAUCAGGAAUACCGGAGGCGAAGGGCGGCUCACUGGGGGUUUUCUGGACGCUGAGGAACGAAAGCCAGGGGAGCGAACGGGG
rnacentral:rRNA from 1 species